UGCCCCAUGGCUCAGUUGGUUAGAGCGUGUGACUGUUAUAUUUCCAUUUGAGUGGUAGCAUAAUCACAAGGUCCUGAGUUCAAGCCUCAGUGGGGCAG